GAAUUUAGAACCGUUGGAUCUUGGAAUCCAAAUACCUUACCAUUUCAGAUGCCCAAUCUCAUUGGAGCUUAUGACCGAUCCAGUAACCGUCUCAACCGGUCAAACUUACGACCGCACAAGCAUCGAGUCAUGGAUCGCCACCGGAAACACCAGUUGCCCCGUCACACGCCUCCCUCUCUCCGACUUCACUCUCAUCCCUAACCACACUCUCCGCCGUCUAAUCCAAGAAUGGUGCGUCGCCAACCGCUCCAGCGGCGUCGAACGGAUUCCCACGCCGAAACAGCCGGCGGAUCCGAUUUCCGUCCGGUCUCUCCUCAGCCAAGCUUCCGCAAUUUCGGGAGCUCACGUCUCUGUUCGCUCACGCGCCGCCGCGAUUCGCCGGCUGAGGGGGUUGGCUAGGGAUAGCGAGAAGAAUCGCGUUUUGAUCGCCGGUCAUAACGCGAGGGAGAUUCUCGUGAGGAUUUUGUUCGCUGACGUGGACGUUGGAGUCGAAACGUCGUCGUCCGAGGUUGUUACCGAGUCCCUCGCGCUUCUGGUUAUGUUUCAUAUGACGGAGGGAGAGUGCGAGUCCAUCUCCUCGGAUCCGGGUCGGGUCGGGUUUAUGACCCGGUUACUGUUCGAUUCAUCGAUUGAGAACCGGGUCAACGCCGCGGCGUUGGUAGAGAUGGUGUUGACCGGAUCCAAAUCUACGGAUCUGAAAAUGAUAAUCUCCGGGUCGGGUUCGGUAUUCGAAGGCGUGAUGGAUCUUUUAAGAAGUUCGGUUUCAUCGCGGCGAGCUUUGAAGAUCGGAAUCAAAGCGCUUUUUGCUCUCUGCCUCGUGAAACAAACGCGCCACCUCGCGAUCUCCGCCGGAGCUCCGGGGACUUUAAUCGGCCGUUUAGCGGCGGACUUCGAUAGGUGUGAUACAGAGAGGGGUUUAGCGACGGUGGAGCUUCUCUGCCGGCUUCCGGAAGGAUGCGCGGCGUUCGGAGAGCACGCUUUGACGGUGCCGCUUCUUGUGAAGACGAUUUUGAGAGUUUCGGAUAGAGCGACGGAGUAUGCGGCGGGAGCGUUGUUGGCUCUGUGCACGGCGGAGGAAAGGUGUAGAGACGAGGCUGCGGCGGCGGGAUUGGUGACGCAGUUGCUGCUUUUGGUGCAGAGUGAUUGUACGGAGAGAGCGAAGAGGAAAGCUCAGAUGCUUUUGAAGCUUCUCAGAGAUUCAUGGCCGGACGAUACCCUUGUGAACGACGACGAGUUCGGUCGUAGCGAAGUGGUGCCGUUUUGAUUUUUUUUUUAGUUUUCUUUUCAAACAAGUAAUUUAUUAUUUUUGUUAGAGAUUUAAAGUAGUCUUAAUCAUGUAAUUAAUUUUUAAAACAUUUUUUGUUUAUCAAAAGUUCCUUUUCUUCUUAGUUAUCUGUCUUUGCAAGUUUUUUAAGUUGGAAAGGUUGUUGAAAAGCAAAUGAAAGCUGUAAGAGGAGGUUGAACCGGUUGCAUAGCCGGUUUGAACCGGUUGCAUAGCCGGGUUGAACCUAAUAAUUGGUUCGACCAUGAACCGGUCACAUAGCCUUAUUGGAUUUCAUAGUUAUUAAAAUGCUAAAAACCAUUAAAACUAUCAAAAGUCUAUAAACUAUCCAUAUAAACAUAAAACUAGUUAUAUUUAUAAGUUUUAUGUUUUAAAUUCAUUUAUAUUUUAAUUAUGUAUCAUAUUUACUAACAUUACGCGACGUUCAUAACAUUUUAUAAAAACAACUAAUUUUAUCAAACCGAACAGAUAAAAUGUUUAAAAUUUAAAUUCAACAAAGUUAUAAAAGCCACACGUGUGGCGCAUACCCUGCGCAGAUAAGGUCUCCUUCCUUCGUCUUCCCACUCUCAAAUUCCAGAAAACAAAAUCCUAAAAGCUCAGAAAAAAAACUUCCAAAAAUGCCGGGGAAUUUAGAACCGUUGGAUCUCGGAAUCCAAAUACCUUACCAUUUCAGAUGCCCAAUCUCAUUGGAGCUUAUGUCCGAUCCAGUAACCGUCUCAACCGGUCAGACUUACGACCGCACAAGCAUCGAGUCAUGGAUCGCCACCGGAAACACCAGUUGCCCCGUCACACGCCUCCCUCUCUCCGACUUCACUCUCAUCCCUAACCACACUCUCCGCCGUCUAAUCCAAGAAUGGUGCGUCGCCAACCGCUCCAGCGGCGUCGAACGGAUUCCCACGCCGAAACAGCCGGCGGAUCCGAU
rnacentral:lncRNA from 1 species